rnacentral:lncRNA from 1 species
CCUGUUUCUUAGAGCACAAUGUGAUAUUUAAGCCUGCCUCCAUGCAUCAGUUCAACCUACUCUUCCUCUAAUGCGACGGUUCUGGAAAAUUUGAAGUUGGUCUAGCUGCUCCUUCAGUACCUGUGAAAUCUCCCAGGCUUCUUGCCCUGGAAUCUGCUAAUAACCUGCAUCCGUAUGUCCCACCGAAGAAAAUGGACGAAAACUGCAGACGAAUCUCUCCUCGAGGCCUAGAUGCUAAAGCUGGCCGAGUUCAGCUAAUAACCCAGCCACGGGUCCGUGCUGUUAUCAGCUGGCUCCAGCCAAGCAGCUGACUCCAGUGUUACACUUGCUUCGCCCUGUGUGGGCUGAUAAGAGAGCAGCUGCCUGAUCUUCGCUGGGAUGACGGGAGUUUGAUUUAUCACUGUGCUGAAGUAACCCUUGAUAUUUGAAAAGUACAGAUAUAGAUUUGCUGCUCAAAUCUUCAGCCUUUCCUUUGUUUAAGCCUUGGAUUAAACAACAGGAAUCUCCUCAGGUGUGUGUGCAUCGCAUAAUAAAUGGAAAGUGGGCUCCAGUAGUAUUUUCCAUUUCUUAUAGCAGAAGCCUCAUUGUGCCUCACCUUCUCACCUGGUUCUCUGCCUCUUUACGUUUUUGCCUCCUCCCAUCCAGCAUACCACUGGAUCCCAUCCCUGGCUGACCCUACUACCCGGCACUCGAGCCUUUGUGGCCUGCUCUCAGAGACCCUAAAGCAAAACAUCGCUGGUCUUUCUUGUUCUCGUCACUAACCAAAGCUUUUCAGCCAGGAGGUCAGCUUCUGCCACAUCACGAAGAAACAUUCUUCCGACUCUCAGCUCCUCCUCCUGAGACUCUCGUUUCCACUGAAGUUGACGGGAGGGAAGAAAUGCAGAGCUAAUGGGAUGUGUGCAUGCCUGGUUCAGCCUUGCCGAGACCAGAAGAGUUAACGGGAGGACGUGGUUUGGCCCCCUGAGUCGGAGCGUGACACAACGCAGCCAUCGAUUUUGCGRGCCUGCCAGGAAGGUCUGGCUGAUGCCUGUUUCCUGCACCUACAUACCUCUUCAGUGGCAGCUCUUUAGUACGUCCCUGUGCGCCCUUAGCAUCCAAUCGGUAUGAAAAUGCGUUACGUAAUGCUGUUUCCUCUUCAGCUUGUCAGCCCUAAUGGGAAGCACGCGAUGAACUUUGCAGAUGUGGGCAAGGAGAGAGCCAGGAGCCGGUGCUGGGAGUGGGCUCACAGC